rnacentral:rRNA from 1 species
AGAUUGAACGCUGGCGGCAGGCCUAACACAUGCAAGUCGAGCGGUAGAGAGGUGCUUGCAUCUCUUGAGAGCGGCGGACGGGUGAGUAAUGCCUAGGAAUCUGCCUAGUGGUGGGGGAUAACGUUCGGAAACGGACGCUAAUACCGCAUACGUCCUACGGGAGAAAGGCGGGGGACCUUCGGGCCUCGCGCCAUUAGAUGAGCCUAGGUCGGAUUAGCUAGUUGGUGAGGUAAUGGCUCACCAAGGCGACGAUCCGUAACUGGUCUGAGAGGAUGAUCAGUCACACUGGAACUGAGACACGGUCCAGACU